GCAGAGUGGUUUCAAUUAGUGCCUUAAAUUGGGAAAGAGCUGGGAAGAAAUCGGGAGCUUUGCUUGGAGCUGGAAUUUGUUCUGUGUGAUCCUUUUGUGGGACUCUUUUCCUCCUUUAAUGGUUCUUUUGUGGGAUUCUUUUCCCCCAUUAAUGAGUAACGAUGAUGUGUCAGUGUUGAGUUUAACCAGGAAAAUCAAGGAACCAGGAAAUUCCAGGUGAAAAAGCAACUGAAGUGGAAGAGAAGCUCUGACUCAUUUGAACUGAUCAGGACAGGGCAGGAGACAACAUCUCCCACAUUGUGGUUAUUUACCAGCUCUCACUCCAGGAUUUCUUAAGAAUUACAAAGAUUUAGCAAGGCCUUGGAAUGAAAAACAGGAUUGAGGCUCAUCCAGGCUUUUGUAUCCCAAAUAUUCCCCAAACUCCUGAUCAAAACAACUUUUCGAUGUUUUCUCGCUGCAUUAACAGGCUGGAAUUGCUACUAGAAGUAUCAGCCAAUUAGCAACUCUUUAAUCUCCUGCAUUGUUUGUCACCACGGUGUGACAAAGUGACAGCCUGCCACGCUAAUUAGCUGCCUUCUGCGAGGGGAAAAUUGCUCUUGUUUGACAAAUAAUUCAAGUUAAAGAAGGACGAGGAAGUCUGAAAACAAAGUUAUUCAUGCAAAGACACAUCAGAGAGCACCCAGGGGCUCAGGCUUUUGGAGAAAUCACUGGUGAAAUGAGGCUGUUGCUACCAAAGGUAAAAAAAAGCAGAUUUUUUUUCUGUGUUUUUUGAGCAUUCAGGAAGGGUAAUGAGUGUACUCCAGGCUUAAUUAGUGUUCUGAAUUCACCCCAACACAAAGAACUUCCCCAGCUCCAGAGAAAACAAAUGUUUAUUCCUUCAGCUGGAUCUGAGCUGGAGUUCUGCUCUUUAUUUCCCAUUUGUGGGUGGAGAAGAGGUCCCUGUUGGAGGCUCAGGGAGGGCUCUCCAGGUGGAGUUUGGCUCAGGACACUUCUCUGGCACUGGAAUUCUCCAGGAGAGCUGUCAACUCCAUUUCCCCCCGGUGCAGUGAGCAGGAUGAAAUCUCUGGGAUGUAAUGCUGGAUUUUGUUUACCUUUGU